rnacentral:rRNA from 1 species
CAGAGAGAAGCGAUACCGCGAGGAGGAGCAAAUCUGAAAAAAGCGUCCCUAGUUCGGAUUGUAGGCUGAAACUCGCCUACAUGAAGCUGGAAUUGCUAGUAAUCACAGGUCAGCAUACUGUGGUGAAUACGUUCCCGGGCCUUGUACACACCGCCCGUCACACCAUGGGAGCCGGAAACGCCCAAAGGCAGUGGCCUAACCGCGAGGAGGGAGCUGCCUAAGGCGGGUCUGGUGACCGGGGUGAAGUCGUAACAAGGUAGC